rnacentral:misc_RNA from 1 species
AAGUCGUAACAAGGUUCUCCGUAGGUUGAACCUGCGGAGGGAUCAUUACCAGAGAUGGCGGGCCCUCGGGUUCCCCGUCCCCAACCCUUUUGUUGACCAAAACCACUUUUUUGCCUCGGGGGGGCAGAGCGGGCCUCCGCCGCCCCCGGUGGACCAACCAACCCUGUCUCUGUACGUCGGAGUCUUUGAUAAAUAAAUGAAAA